CCUCAGUAAUGGCGCCCAACCUUCUUUGCCACAUGUGAUCUUCUCAUCUCCCUCAGCAAUUGCACCCAGAAAAACUCACCAGCACCGCCGUCUCAACCUCAACCGCCGUCUCUGUCACCUCCUUGCCGACGUUGAUGCGCGUUUCUUCUCCUUCUGUAAACCGAAUAAUGGUGGCCGGCGGGGUAGGAAAGCGAGGAGUAGAGCUGUAGAGGAUUUUGGCUUGGAGGCAUUAGGAAGUUCAGGAGCAUGAACACCUAUUUUCGUGAUUUGAGGGAGAUCGCGAUUCGCGUCAGCUUUUGAAAACGGGUUCUUAUAUUAAGGAAGCAUGUUUAUGAAUUUAGCUAAUUGUCACUCACAUAGAGCGGGAGGUUGAGCAACUUCGUUGGAAAAAAAAUCUUGUGGCAAACAAGAAGAAAGGAAAGCUCGAACCAUCUGGGCGCCAGAAGAUGAUAGAAGAAGGUACAGAGAUAUCUAGCUAGCAAUAGAUGGACUGAAAUAGCCAAGGUGGUCUCUGGGAGGAUCGAUAAUGCUGUGAAGAAUCUCAAAUCCUGUUGAUGAAUUCCAUUAAUGAGUAGUAGCUUUCACCUGUUGUUGACGAUCUCGAAUGAGCUUUUUUCGUUUCUGGAAUUUGAAGCUGUUUACCUCAAAAUCGAUCGAUUUCUUCAGUUCCCUGGAUGAAUUCGGAGAGAGGAACAGCAAUUACAAAGCUCAAUCAUACAGAAAGAACAACAAUACUGAAGAAAAGGAGGAAGUCGUCGCUUCAAUUUCAUAUUCCACCAUUUUUAUUCAAAUCAGCUCAAUCUGAAGCUUCAUCUUCAAAUUUGCAGAGUGUUGAAGAAUCUUCUGCAUUUUACAACUGUUUCUAGAAUUCAAAGAUUGAAGUUCUGAUUUAAUCUUCCUUUUUCCAGAAAAUUGCAAGUUUUUUCUUCAGGGUUUAUCAGUCCGAUCAUCAAUGCCCACGAAGAAGCACGUGAAUAAAUUGAAUCGAUGGGAGAUUUAAAAAAAAAAGGCAUGGUGUGGGUUGUGAAAAUGUGGGGCUUAUCUACAGAUUCGUUGUCCGGUUGUAACGUUCGGUUCUUCUCCCCAAGUCCAGGAGAAUCCAUUUUGUAGCUACUACUAAUCUCACCAUGGUGUUGCGACGGCAAUGAAGACAUCACCAAAAUGUUCGUGAUUUUGAAGUUGGUGUUGAGCUUCUUUACAUUAUUCUUCGCAAGGAUUAUCAAGUAAACGCAUUGGUCUACCUUUAAAUACCGACCAGUUUGACCAAUAUAAUACGACUCUUAAGGGUUUGAUACAUGUGGCAAGCAAAGCUCCAAAAAAUGCACAUGCUCACUCUUUACUGGUCUUAAUGUACCAAAGAUUGGGUCAGCCUCAAAAGGCAAUGCCUGACUAUAAGAAAGUAGCAAAUGAUUUAUUCCGUUUUGAUGAGGGGAUUGACAUGCCAAAGUUGUUAUCAUUGGUCCAAAUGCAUCUUCCAUAGUAAUGAUAGCUUCUAUUGGGACAUAACGAUAGCUUCUAUGGACAUAUGUUCUUCAAAGAAUCAAAAAAAUGAUAUCUACAUAUCGAUGGUUCGAAGUUUACAUAUCUAUGGUAGUGAUCCGGCUGCUAAUGUUACCCUCUUAUCUAGCCAACCAGUGAAGGAUUCAUCAACCUUGGAGAGCCUGCUGAAAAAGCCACAGGUAUUCAACAAUCCGAGGGAGCAGCCUUUUACCAUUGAGUAGAUAAAUGAAGUUCGAGAAAAGUUGGCAAAGUUCAUUACCAUUUAUUGUCUUUCAUAUUUUCUUGUAGUGAAUCUUAGAUUAUGGAUGCUAGUUUUUCAUAGGAUUGUAAUUUAAUCAAUUUUUAUAUUUAUAAUUAUAUACUAUUCAAUUUAAUUAUC